UCCUUCCUAGGGGCGCAGCAGUGAGGAAUAUUGGUCAAUGGGCGGAAGCCUGAACCAGCCAAGUCGCGUGAGGGAAUAAGGCCCUACGGGUCGUAAACCUCUUUUGCCGGGGAGCGAGGGCGGGGACGUGUCCCGGCCCGGAGAGUACCCGGAGAAAAAGCAUCGGCUAACUCCGUGCCAGCAGCCGCGGUAAUACGGGGGAUGCGAGCGUUAUCCGGAUUUAUUGGGUUUAAAGGGUGCGUAGGCGGGCUUUUAAGUCAGCGGUAAAAAUUCGGGGCUCAACCCCGUCCGGCCGUUGAAACUGG
rnacentral:rRNA from 1 species